rnacentral:misc_RNA from 1 species
GAUGAAGAACGUAGCGAAAUGCGAUACUUGGUGUGAAUUGCAGAAUCCCGUGAACCAUCGAGUCUUUGAACGCAAGUUGCGCCUCAAGCCAUUAGGUUGAGGGCACGUCUGCCUGGGCGUCACAUAUCGUUGCCUGAUGCCAGUUUCCUCGUGAUGGGUGACUGUGCAGGGCGAAUGAUGGCUUCCCGUGAGCAUUGUUGCCUCAUGGUUGGUUGAAAAUUGAGUCCUUGGUAGGGAGCGCCGUGAUAGAUGGUGGUUGAGUGACGAACGAGACCCAAUCAUGUGAGACCCCUACCGAAUUUGGCCUUCAUGACCCACAUGCGUCUUUGGAACGCUCAUGACGAGACCUCAGGUCAGGCGGGGCUACCCGCUGAAUUUAAGCAUAUCAUAAGCGGAGGA